rnacentral:tRNA from 1 species
GCCCCGAUGGUGUAGUCGGUUAUCAUACGGGACUGUCAAUCCCGUGACCCGGGUCCGAAUCCCGGUCGGGGCG